rnacentral:lncRNA from 1 species
GAAUUGUUUUCACACCGAGUCGGUGUGAAGCAAGUCGGGGGGAGGUUGUCAUUUGACUACUAAUCGAGUUUGCUUUGGUUAUUUCUUUUGAUGUUUUCGUUUGAGUCAGUCAGUUCGUUUUUAUCGAGUCAAAAAUUGUGUCUUUUAUUGAGUCAAAAUCUGUUUGAGAACUAUGAUCUUUUCUUGGGGAAUUGCACCUUGCUUGAUUUCAUUGCCUU